rnacentral:rRNA from 1 species
UACAGAGGGUGCGAGCGUUUGUCCGGAAUCACUGGGCGUAAAGGGCGCGUAGGUGGUGGCUUAAGCGUGCGGUGAAAGCUCGGGGCUCAACCCCGAGUCGGCCGUGCGAACUGGGCUCACUGGAGCAUAGUAGAGGCAGGUGGAAUUCCGGGUGUAGCGGUGGAAUGCGUAGAGAUCCGGAAGAACACCGGUGGCGAAGGCGGCCUGCUGGGCUAUGGCUGACACUGAGGCGCGACAGCGUGGGGAGCGAACAGG